rnacentral:rRNA from 1 species
GCCUGAGAGACGGCUACCACAUCCAAGGAAGGCAGCAGGCGCGCAAAUUACCCACUCCCGGCACGGGGAGGUAGUGACGAAAAAUAACAAUACGGGACUCUAACGAGGCUCCGUAAUUGGAAUGAGUACACUGUAAACCCUUUAACGAGGAUCUAUUCGAGCAGUAGUCUGGUGCCAGCCCGCGCGGUAACACCAGCUCGAAGAGCGUAUAUUAAAGUUGUUGCGGUUAAAACGCUCGUAGUUGGAUCUCAGUCGUGCGCCCGGCGACGCGUCGAAAGGCGUCUAUCGUCGGGGCCGGCAAACGCGGCCGGUGUCGUCGGUUGGCCUUAAAAAGCUGAUCGGCUUCUCUCCGGCGAUUUUACUUUGAAAAAAUUAGGGUGCUCAAAGCAGGCCGGGGCCUGGAUACUGGUGCAUGGAAUAAUGAAAUAGGACCUCGGUUCUAUUUUGUUGGUUUUCGGAAGCCGAGGUAAUGAUUAAGAGGGACAGACGGGGGCAUUCGUAUUGCUGCGCUAGAGGUGAAAUUCUUGGACCGUAGCAAGACGAACUACUGCGAAAGCAUUUGCCAAGAAUGUUUUCAUUAAUCCAGAACGAAAGUUAGAGGAUCGAAGGCGAUUAGAUACCGCCCUAGUUCUAACCAUAAACGAUGCCAACCAGCGAUCCGCCCGAGUUCCUCAUACGUCUCGGCGGGCAGCUUCGGGAAACCAAAGUGUUUGGGUUCCGGGGGGAGUAUGGUUGCAAAGCUGAAACUUAAAGGAAUUGACGGAAGGGCACUACCAGAAGUGGAUCCUGCGGCUUAAUUUGACUCAACACGGGAAAUCUCACCCGGCCCGGACACCGGAAGGAUUGACAGAUUGACAGCUCUUUCUUGAUUCGGUGCAUGGUGGUGCAUGGCCGUUCUUAGUUGGUGGAUCGAUUUGUCUGGUUAAUUCCGAUAACGAACGAGAUUCCAGCCUACUAAAUAGCCCGGCGGCCCAUUACGUGCCGCCAUUUGGAGCUUCUUAGAGGGACGGGCGGYGYUUAGCCGCACGARACGGAKCAAUAACAGGUYUGUGAUGCCCUUAGAUGKCCGGGGCCGCACGCGCGCUACACUGGAGGGAUCAGCGCGUUUUUCCCCUGGUCCGAGAGGACCGGGUAACCGCGCGAACCCCCUCCGUGMCUUGGGAUAGGGGAUUGCAAUUGUUCCCCUCGAACGAGGAAUUCCUAGUAGGCGCGAGUCAUCAGCUCGCGUCGAUUACGUCCCUGCCCUUUGUCCACACCGCCCGUCGCUAGUAGCGAUUGAACGAUUUAGUGAGGUCUUCGGACCGGUGCCAAACGCCAAAUUUUGGCGUCGGGCGACGGGAAGAUGACCGAACUUGAUCGUUUAGAGCAACUAAAAGUCGUAACAAGGUGGCC